AUGUUUCAACCUUCGAUUUCGACGAUGUUCUUCCUUUAUAGAGCUUUGAUGUUUACGAAUCAACCUUCUUCGAGUUUCAUCAUCAUCUCAAUAGCGAUGUUGAUGUCUCCGUCUUACCCAAUCAAUACAAAACCGUCGUGGAUUCGUCGUGUUCAAUGCAGCUUCGUCUUUUUCUCAGUAUCACCGCAUCUCCAUGAGAUUUCAUCCGUUCUCACUUCUGAUUCUACUUCUUCGCUUGAUUUUGUUUCAAACUCGCUGUUAACUGCUUUCCAUUCUCGAAAACAAACUCAUGUGGUAAUCAGAAACAAAUGA